ACUCCUGCGGGAGGCAGCAGUGGGGAAUUUUGGACAAUGGGCGAAAGCCUGAUCCAGCAAUGCCGCGUGUGUGAAGAAGGCCUUCGGGUUGUAAAGCACUUUUGUCCGGAAAGAAAUCCUUGGCUCUAAUACAGUCGGGGGAUGACGGUACCGGAAGAAUAAGCACCGGCUAACUACGUGCCAGCAGCCGCGGUAAUACGUAGGGUGCGAGCGUUAAUCGGAAUUACUGGGCGUAAAGCGUGCGCAGGCGGUUUGCUAAGACCGAUGUGAAAUCCCCGGGCUCAACCUGGGAACUGCAUUGGUGACUGGCAGGCUAGAGGAUGGCAGAGGGGGGUAGAAUUCCACGUGUAGCAGUGAAAGGCGUAGAGAUGUGGAGGAAUACCGAUGGCGAAGGCAGCCCCCUGGGCCAAUACUGACGCUCAUGCACGAAAGCGUGGGGAGCAAACAGGAUUAGAAACCCUGGUAGUCCCAUGAU
rnacentral:rRNA from 1 species